GUGAGUAGUUCAGAGUUUGAUCCUGGCUCAGGAUGAACGCUAGCUACAGGCUUAACACAUGCAAGUCGAGGGGCAGCAGGGAUUUAGCUUGCUAAAUUCGCUGGCGACCGGCGCACGGGUGCGUAACGCGUAUCCAACCUUCCCGUUACUCUGGGAUAGCCUUCCGAAAGGGAGAUUAAUACCGGAUGGUGUUCAAAUGUCGCAUGUUAUUUGAACUAAAGAUUUAUCGGUAACGGAUGGGGAUGCGUGACAUUAGAUAGUAGGCGGGGUAACGGCCCACCUAGUCUACGAUGUCUAGGGGUUCUGAGAGGAAGAUCCCCCACACUGGAACUGAGACACGGUCCAG
rnacentral:rRNA from 1 species